GAUGCAACGCGAAGAACCUUACCAGCCCUUGACAUCCUUGGAAUCUGGCGGAGACGCUGGAGUGCCUUCGGGAGCCAAGAGACAGGUGUUGCAUGGCUGUUGUCAGCUCGUGUCGUGAGAUGUUGGGUUAAGUCCCGUAACGAGCGCAACCCUUGUCCUUAGUUGCCAGCACAUCAUGGUGGGAACUCUAAGGAGACUGCCGGUGAUAAACCGGAGGAAGGUGGGGACGACGUCAAGUCAUCAUGGCCCUUAUGGGCUGGGCUACACACGUGUUACAAUGGUCGGUACAGAGGGACGCCAACCCGCGAGGGGGAGCCAAUCCCAGAAAACCGGUCGUAGUCCGGAUUGCAGUCUGCAACUCGACUGCAUGAAGUCGGAAUCGCUAGUAAUCGCGAAUCAGCAUGUCGCGGUGAAUACGUUCCCGGGCCUUGUACACACCGCCCGUCACACCAUGGGAGUUGGUUGCACCAGAAGUAGGUAGCUUAACCCUCGGGAGGGCGCUUACCACGGUGUGGUCAAUGACUGGGG
rnacentral:rRNA from 1 species